rnacentral:rRNA from 1 species
GACUCUUGGCAAUGGAUAUCUCGGCUCUCGCAUCGAUGAAGAACGUAGAGAAAUGCGAUACUUGGUGUGAAUUGCAGAAUCCCGCGAACCAUCGAGUCUUUGAACGCAAGUUGUGCCCGAGGCCACUCGGCCGAGGGCACGCCUGCCUGGGCGUCA